UACGUAGGGGGCUAGCGUUGUCCGGAUUUAUUGGGCGUAAAGAGCGUGUAGGCGGCCAGGUAGGUCUGCUGUGAAAACUCGAGGCUUAACCUCGAGAUGUCGGCGGAAACCAUCUGGCUAGAGUCCGGAAGAGGAGAGUGGAAUUCCUGGUGUAGCGGUGAAAUGCGCAGAUAUCAGGAAGAACACCGAUGGCGAAGGCAGUGGCUGGGCCGGUACUGACGCUGAGGAGCGAAAGCGUGGGGAGCGAACAGG
rnacentral:rRNA from 1 species